rnacentral:rRNA from 1 species
CCUACGGGCGGCUGCAGUAGGGAAUUUUCGUCAAUGGGCGCAAGCCUGAACGAGCAAUGCCGCGUGAACGAGGAAGGUCUUCGGAUCGUAAAGUUCUGUUGAAAGGGAAAAAGAGCGGAGAGAGGAAAUGGUCUCCGAUUGAUAUUACCCUUCGAGGAAGUCACGGCUAACUACGUGCCAGCAGCCGCGGUAAUACGUAGGUGGCGAGCUUUAUCCGGAAUGAUUGGGCGUAAAGGGUGCGUAGUCGGCUUGGUAAGUCUGGAGUGAAAGGUACCGGCUCAACCGGUACAGGCCCUGGAAACUGGCGGGCUAGAGAGCAGGAGAGGGAGGUGGAACGCCAUGUGUAGCGGUAAAAUGCGUAGAUAUAUGGAAGAACACCAGUGGCGAAGGCGGCCGCCUGGCCUGUUACUGACGCUGAGGCACGAAAGCGUGGGGAGCAAAUAGGAUUAGAUACCCUAGUAGUC